rnacentral:lncRNA from 1 species
CUUCGUGUUAGGUGGCAUUGUAACCAUUACAAUGCAGUAUUUGAGGCCAUGCCCUCAGGAACUUAUAGUAAGGGUGAGAAGAUGUAUGUAAAACUCUAUCGAUCCAAUGGAGCAAGAUUAUAGGGGUUACCCCACCUGAACAUCCUCCUGGGAGGAAGCAGGGCAUGAAUCCGAAGGAAUUAGUGAAGUCCUUCCAUAGCCAUCCUUGAUGGUGGAGCGGGGGUGUGUCUCAGCAAAAAGGGCUGAAGUAUAAGGUGCUGGGACCAGUUGUCAGUAAAGGCAGUAUGAUUCAAUGAAUCAAUUAAAUCAGGAUGGAGAAGGGAAGCAAAAAGUCCAAGCCAGAUAAGUGGAACUACCCAUGAAACUGGAGGGUGUGGUGAACAAAAGCAAAAUGAUUAGUCACAAGGUCAGGAGCAAGUGGCCCCAGGAUGAAGAAAGGUAGCUAGAUGGAGGAUGGUUCUCCUCAUUCCGCAGAUGAUGAACUUGAAACCAGUGACAGUGGCUUUUUGACAGGAAAAAAAAAAGAAAAAUUCUGUGGAAGGCAGCUUCGAGAAGACAUAAUCCAUGUGUGAUUGUUUGAGAGCAAGAAGGGUUAAAAAAGGCAACAACAAAAAACCUGCUCAUUUUUGCUGCUUGCUUAAGAAAAAAACAACUCAAGCCAUCUCCAAAUGUAGUUUAAUCCAUUUUCAGAC